rnacentral:lncRNA from 1 species
CUCCAGGUACUCUCUCUGAUCCCCUCACCCUGGAGGAGGAAAACCUUACCCAAGGACCAGCCCGGCACACAACCCUUGUCUGAACUCUUAAAACCUGCAGACAUCCUCGACAGACAUUCUCUAAGACCUUGCCCACUCCAGUAAUCCACAAGAUUGAGGGCAGACAGGAAAGGAAAGGGUAUCACUCAGACAGACUUGUCUUUCCCUGGAAGGCCAGCUGUACGGCUUCCAUUCACUCCUGGAGCUGACCUGCCUCCCUCUUUGUCCUUUUCUGGCUGUGCUUAAGAGCCUAGCUUCCCUGGCAGCCUAAGGUCAGGGUCUGUGACUGGGAUGCGUGCGGAGAAGGGGAGGAAGGCCGGUGACAGGCGGCUAAGGCAGCAGCAACGGGGGAGAUAUGAGAGCGGACAGAGGACCCAGGGAGAGGCCGGGCCCUCAGCUCACUGCCCCGCGGCCCCAGGGGCCACCUGUGCCCUGACACCACCUGACCCUCAGCAAACUUCCGCCCAGUGGCUUCCUGCCAGAAAUCUAGCCAGCCGUGCACCCGCCUCCCUUACAAACAAUCCUUGCCCAAAGGUUAGCAAUGUGGCUGCCGUCACCUACGCCCAAGUCAACAGUUGACGCUUUAGUACGGGCCAGGUGGGCAUGCGCCCCGUGAGCAUCACCGAGAAAGUCUCACAAAAGCCCCUGGGGAGCGGGGGGAGGGCUCAGUCACGUGCCCCAGGCCGGUGCCCCACCCCCGCCCC